rnacentral:tRNA from 1 species
AAUAAAGUGCCUGAUUAAAGGAUUAUUCUGAUAGGAUAAAUUAAAUAGUAUUAAUUUACUAUCUUUAUUA